AGUCGAACGCUUCUUUUUCCCCGGAGCUUGCUCCACCGGAAAAAGAAGAGUGGCGAACGGGUGAGUAACACGUGGGUAACCUGCCCAUCAGAAGGGGAUAACACUUGGAAACAGGUGCUAAUACCGUAUAACAAUCAAAACCGCAUGGUUUUGAUUUGAAAGGCGCUUUCGGGUGUCGCUGAUGGAUGGACCCGCGGUGCAUUAGCUAGUUGGUGAGGUAACGGCUCACCAAGGCCACGAUGCAUAGCCGACCUGAGAGGGUGAUCGGCCACAUUGGGACUGAGACACGGCCCAAACUCCUACGGGAGGCAGCAGUAGGGAAUCUUCGGCAAUGGACGAAAGUCUGACCGAGCAACGCCGCGUGAGUGAAGAAGGUUUUCGGAUCGUAAAACUCUGUUGUUAGAGAAGAACAAGGAUGAGAGUAACUGUUCAUCCCUUGACGGUAUCUAACCAGAAAGCCACGGCUAACUACGUGCCAGCAGCCGCGGUAAUACGUAGGUGGCAAGCGUUGUCCGGAUUUAUUGGGCGUAAAGCGAGCGCAGGCGGUUUCUUAAGUCUGAUGUGAAAGCCCCCGGCUCAACCGGGGAGGGUCAUUGGAAACUGGGAGACUUGAGUGCAGAAGAGGAGAGUGGAAUUCCAUGUGUAGCGGUGAAAUGCGUAGAUAUAUGGAGGAACACCAGUGGCGAAGGCGGCUCUCUGGUCUGUAACUGACGCUGAGGCUCGAAAGCGUGGGGAGCAAACAGGAUUAGAUACCCUGGUAGUCCACGCCGUAAACGAUGAGUGCUAAGUGUUGGAGGGUUUCCGCCCUUCAGUGCUGCAGCUAACGCAUUAAGCACUCCGCCUGGGGAGUACGACCGCAAGGUUGAAACUCAAAGGAAUUGACGGGGGCCCGCACAAGCGGUGGAGCAUGUGGUUUAAUUCGAAGCAACGCGAAGAACCUUACCAGGUCUUGACAUCCUUUGACCACUCUAGAGAUAGAGCUUCCCCUUCGGGGGCAAAGUGACAGGUG
rnacentral:rRNA from 1 species